GUGGGCCUCGCCGCGGUUGAACGCGCGUGCAAGUGGCAGGCAUCAAGUAUAACUUGGCUGAAGGCCGAGGAUGCCAAGACUGCUUUCUUUCAGGCAAGGAUCAAUUCUAGAAGGAGGAAGAACUUCAUCCACUCCAUGCAAACAGAUUCGAGGACGACCACCUCGCAUGAUGAUAAAGCAACCAUCGCUUAUGAUCACUUUGUAAACCUGGGCUCAAAACGGGACCGUGGAUGCUCCAUGAACUGGGACGUGAUCGAGCUGCCGGCUGUUCAAAAUGAAGGCCUGGACAACCCAUUCUCUGAACCUAAGGUUUGGGCUGUAGUUCUGGCUUCACCAGCGGACAAGGCACCAAGGCCAGACAAUUUCUCGGGCGCCUUCUUUUGGGCCUGCUGGAGCAUUAUCAAGCAUGACAUCAUGGUAGUAUUCAAUCACUUUUACAGGCAGUAG
rnacentral:rRNA from 1 species